AAACAAAAAUAUUCUAAUAAAAAUAAAUAAAAGAUAUCUGCCUUCAAAGUCCUGAAAACACCAUAUACAGUUUAAAUAGUAAAUUAAAUUGCUAUCUAUACCAUCUUACAUCUAUUGCUCUUUUGAAAAUUAUUUCAAAAUUUGUCUUCUCCAUUUAGCAGUAUGGCUCUUAGAGUCAUGUACUCUCUUUUAAAACUGUUUAGAGUAGUGCUUUCAUAAGGCUUAACAUAUUAAUGUGUGGUUUUUAAAAAUUUUCUAUUUGUAUCUUUGUAUAGCAUCUUUGAAGAAAUGGGUACUCAAAGAAAUCCUCAUGUAGAGUCACACUGUGCUGUCAUCUGAGACUUCAAGUUCAUUACUGAAUCCAUGCUUCCUCUUCGCAUCGUGAGAAGAUCAUUACAGAAGCAUAUCACCACACUUAGCUAGUGCUCUCAGCAAGGACCAGGUGCUUCCUGCACAUUGACAACAAGCUGCUUCUUGGAGAAGAAAGAGUGCUCUGGAAAUUUGCAGAUGAAAGGGAAAAGAAAACGUCAUCAUGGUCAGGUAACAUAAUGACAAACUUUGAGGAUUUAUCAGAUUUGGGGACUCAUCAAGAGAAAUGAAUGUGCAUCUGAAUAACCAAGUGGGGAAUAUUAGCUGAAAAUGGUUAAAGACAGAAUUUUCGGGAGGUCUAUUGAGUGUUGAACAAGUGAUGCCUAACAAGCUGAUAAAAGCCUUUGCCUGUUAGUGUAGAAAGUGCACACCUAUAAAAGCCGAUAAUUGCUAAGGCCCUCAUGUUUUAAAUUGUGAAUGGACUUGAAAAUAAAGUGUUGCCUUCAUAGUAGUUUUCUUCUCCC
rnacentral:lncRNA from 1 species